rnacentral:rRNA from 1 species
ACUCAAAUGAAUAGACGGGGACCCGCACAACCAGUGGAGCGUGUGGUUCAAUUUGAGACGAAGCAAAAAACCUCACCAAGGAUUGACAUAUUUUUGUAAGCCUUAUGAAAGUUAGGCCCUCCCGCAAGGGACAAUUUUACAGGUGUUGCAUGGCUGUCGUCAGCUCGUGCCGUGAGGUGUUCCCUUAAGUGGGGAAACGAGUGCAACCCUCAUUCUAUGUUAAAUAUUCAUAGAAGACUGCCUCGCCUUUGGCGAGGAGGAAGGAGAGGCGGACGUCAAGUCAGCAUGACCCUUAUACCUUGGGCUACACACACCCUACAAUGGCGAAAAACAAUGAGUUGCAAGACGGUAACGUCAAGCCAAUCUCUGAAAUUUCGCCUCAGUUCAGAUUGGGGUCUGAAACCCGACCCCAUGAAGUAGGAAUUGGUAGUAAUCGCGGAUCAGCAGGCCGCGGUGAAUGCGUUCUCGGGUCUUGUACACACCGCCCGU